rnacentral:tRNA from 1 species
CAUUGAGUGGCUGAAAAAUUUAAGCAUUGAUCUCUUAAAUCAAUCCAUAGUAUAUUAAUAAAUACUCUCAAUGA